rnacentral:lncRNA from 1 species
GUCAAGCCCAUUAACUUAAGUUGUAUGACAAUUUAAUGAAUAAAGAUUCAUUAAGGCCCAAAAGCCCAAAAUUCCCUAAAUGGCCGGCCAUGUAUGUGAUGAAUUAGGGUUUUGGUUGUUUAGGUCACUUAAAGAAGUGACUAUAUAAAUGACUUUAUAGCCAAAUAUUCAUUAAGGAUUAAAAGGGUUUAUUUUUGGGGAAAAUUGGUGAGAAUUGUCUCUCCAUUUUCUCUCUAAAGAGGCCAACACCUUGGAGGGUACAUCUAGCAAUCCUACUACUCUAAGGUCACUCAUUUCUUCUACAAUCUAACCUUGGUGAAGAGACUUAGAGGUUCUCAAUUUUGGGAACUUGG